UACGCGCAGGCAAGUAUUGCCACUUCUUUAUGCUGGGCUGGCUUUUGGAUAUCUCCAUCCUGUAUGCCUCCUGUUGGUGCAAAUUUAAACACCUUGAUGAUCAUCUUGUGGACAUUAGCUUUAAGGUGAGCAUAACCCAAUUUUCUUUUUAUUUAAUUUGUAUUUUUGGGAUAAACUAUCAUAUCAUAUUCACUUGAAUUUUAAAACCAUCACCAUGUUUUCUCCGUCGAUUCUGAGAUGAUAAAUGUAUUGACUAUUGAUUUAAGUUUGUUCAUUGAAUUAUUUAGUUGAUCUUCAGUCAUUUUUCCCAGUAAGACAUCUCUUUUACCCAUAACCUGUAUUUGUUCUAGCCUGCUUAGUUAAAUUCAUGUCCAUAUGGAGUUUUGGCAUGCAUUUGGCUUCAGUUGGUUAGUUGGAUAGUAAAAUUUUGAGAAUUAGCAUUCAUUAGUCUCAUUGGUAAAUUAACUAUGCUUAGAAGAAAGGUUCUGGGACCGUUGUAACAUCUAAUUAGGCGUUUCUAGAAGCGAUGUGGUUUAUGAGUUUUCUUUUUCAGGUUCAUGUAUUGCCAAUGGUUCUUACUUAUUUUACUUAUUUUUUUUUUUUUGGGAAAAUGUAUUGGAUUUUUAGGUGUUUUAGAAUUUUGGAUCUGAAUUUUGUACGAAUAUUGUUACAUUUUAGAGUUCAAUUAAUAAUGAUUAUUGGAGUUAUUUGA